UACGAGGGGGGCAAGCGUUGUUCGGAAUUAUUGGGCGUAAAGGGCGCGUAGGCGGUGUCGCAAGUCCGUGGUGAAAUCUCUAGGCUCAACUUAGAGACUGCCGCGGAAACUGCGGUGCUUGAGUGUGGGAGAGGAUGGCGGAAUUCCCGGUGUAGCAGUGAAAUGCGUAGAGAUCGGGAGGAACAUCUGUGGCGAAGGCGGCCAUCUGGACCAGCACUGACACUGAGGCACGAAAGCGUGGGGAGCAAACAGG
rnacentral:rRNA from 1 species